UCCUUUAAGAUCUGCUUGUUUGGUGAGGUUGCAAAAUGAGAAGAUCCUCUACCGAUAUGCCCACCUAUCCUUUUUGGCCCUAGCACCAAACAAUCAAAUCAAAACGGCUGGGCACCCUACCUACCAUUCUGUGUCCCACGUGUCCAUGGAUGGCCACAUUCUGUUUGUUUGGAGUGACAGCAUGACAGCAAUUGAAGAGAAGCAGCCGUUAUUCUUUCAUAACCCAUCUACCAACGCAUCAAGCACCCAACAACAUAUUAAAACGGUGGGUAUAUUUGUUGUUGGGGUAUUAACGAGCCAAUCCAAUGGGAAAAACAAACCUCCCCAAUUGAGAUCUGGCCCAUUAUCGGCUAGAUAUCGGUCAGGUAGACCCUUUGGGGGUUCCCUGUUCGCAAGCAUCAAGCACCCAACAACAUAUUGAAUCAGCAAAUUCAGUUUUGGUUUCAACAAGUCAUCGCUGAUCCCACUGGAUCACACAAUGGACUGUCAAAACUGGCUCCCAAGCUGACAUACAUGCACUGAUGAUUGGGCAUCAAAUUGGCCAAAUUAUCCAACUAAAUCUUGUAAUAUAUAUUGAAAUUAAAGGGAAUGUAAAAGAUUAAUGGUACUGUAGUCAUUACCACAGGCAAUCCCCAUUGAUUGCAUAUAUUCUCAGCAUUUGGAUAGAAAGAAAAGUAUUUGAUCAAAGUUUCGAAAAGUUACAUUAUGUGACAAAACCCUCUUGUUAUUAUUUAUCUUAUUACUACAGAAAUAUUUUUCUGUUGCAGUAAAAGUGGUCAAUAGGAAAAGCAGUUGUAGCAACAAUUAAUGAAUUAUUGAAGCACUUUGUAAGGUUAAAGGCUGAAAUGAAAGAAAAAUGAUACUGUCAGGAACUGUGUUGAUCUUAAAUAAUUAAGAAAAACAUUUCAGCCUGAGAAAACGUCCAUCCAGCACCGAGUGCUAUCCUCCCACCACCAGCUUGAAUACAAUUAAUGUUUAUUGCUUAAUGUUGCUGCUGGAUUUUGGCAGGUUUCUUUGUACCCAGGAGUUGCCAAAUAAAUGACAUUCAUCACUCCAUUUGGAAACCAUUAAUGAAUGGAUUGGACUGCCACUUGGCACUGUGCAUUUGUGAAGAAAAAAUGACACAAGAUGCCGUUUUAUGUCAGUGCAGAGGAAUCAUUUGAAUUUCUACCACCUGUAGGUCUCAAAUACUAAAAUAAAAUUAUCUCAUGGUCAA